CGCACAUUGCGCCCCUUGGUAUUCCGAGGGGCAUGCCUGUUCGAGCGUCAUUAUCACCCCUCAAGCUCCGGCUUGGUGUUGGACUACAUGGUUUGACCACAAACCGGUCUCAAAGAUAGUGACGGCGUCCUAGAAGGAGCCCGUACGAGGAGCUUUUCGUUAAGCAUGUACGCGGUAUGAUUUUCGGGGCGACGGUCUUAACCUAAACAUUUACAGUGUUGACCUCGGAUCAGGUAGGAAUACCCGCUGAACUUAA
rnacentral:misc_RNA from 1 species